GUUGUGCGGGAGGGCGGUUUAUGGCGCUUCGCAAACAUUUACCAAGCUCUAAAGGAAUAGGGAGGGAAACAUCCACGGUUUCUUUACCCCUCGGGCUGGUUAGUCUUUGUCCUUCUGCCUAAAGUGGUGAAUAAAACAUCUGUGGUCCCUGCCUUUCUAGAAUCCUCCACAGAUAUUUAUUGAGCCCCUACUAUGGGCCAGGUAUGCUAAGAGCUGGGGAUGCGAUGAGGAAUUCUACAUUCCUGGCUUCUGUCUUAGAAGGUGAUAAAAUCUACAAGUAGCUAUAGAAUAUGCAAGGGAUGGGAGGUGGGCGGGGCUUUCUCGGUAUCAGGAGACUCUCAACAUCAGACUUUCAACAAUCUUCUCAGCCUCCUAAAGCUACCCCCCAAAAAUAACAGAAUUGUCAAGCUGAUGUUAUUUGUAAACGCCUUUCUUCCUAUGUAAAUAUUUCAUCUAGACAAGUCCAGCUUCUGCUCCUUCAAUCCCCUUCUCAGAGUUUUUAGUCCCUAAGCCUCCACUGUGAGCCACUUCUGUCUCAGUUAUAGUGUUAAAUCUAGGAGGUCACUAUAAGAAUGAAUGGCAUGCAAAACCAAUUAACUUAUACUGCUGUGCUGCCACGGUUCAAGCAAGAGGAAUUCUCUAUAACUUUCAGUAAAGAAUUUAGAAGAGAUGGACAGACAAGAGAUUUUCAAGGUAAAAGUGACUGGAUGUCCCUAGUACAGUGUGGGGAACAUACUAGAUACAUUUGUUGGAUGAAAAAAUGGUUGACGGAAUGGGGGAGAGAGCAGUUCAGACAGACGUUUGAUGGUGAGAGUGAAUGUAAAAGAAGCAGGCUUGAGGUGGCAGAAAUGCUGCAUUCACUUUGGACCUCAGAGGACUUGAAUUCUGGAGAACAGUCAGGAUUGGAGAGAUGUGGUAAUUAUCUAAAUAGAGCACUGAAGGCCUAAUUAUGUUUGAGAUAAUCAAGGGAAAGAAUAUAGAAAGAAAAAAGGUGGAAGAAAAAAGUACUGCAGAAUAACCCUCAACUGCCUCUCCUAAUUCUUCCUCUUCCCUCCUCCUCCUUCUCUCAGUCCCCCUUUAACUUUGUACUUCCUACCAGCUUUGCUUUUUUCUCCCAAGGAGUGUCCACCUCCCGUCAUCCUGGGCCAGCUUCCUUCUUCAAGUGCCCAGAUGUCAUCCUUAGCCAAGUCUGUGGUAUGUGCUAUAACCCUCUUGCACAUACAUAGGGGUGAUCACAAGCUUCCCCUCCUCCUCUGUGACCACUCAAUCAAACAUUUUGAGUUGGAGCCAUUUAACUGAAGAGACGUGAAAGGCACGUUCCAGAGUAGCACCCAAUGUAAAUCUCGCUUCUCCAGAUAUUUCCUCCAGCUUUCUCAGAACUCCUGGCUGGUUCUCCUUUUAUCCUUCUUGUAAGUUUAUAAGGGUGGUAGUAUAACCACACAAAAUAUCAGAGGCAUUAAGAGACUCUCAAGGUUAUAGAGCCUAAAGCACCUUUGUCCAGCUUUUCCUCAAGGCCCUGAGGUCAGAGAAACUUCUGUUUAAAUCCCAACUCUACUUUCCAAUCCGCCCAACAGCUCUGGGAGCUUUGGCAAGUUCUGUUGUCUCUUUCAGCUUCUGCAUUUGAGAACAUUAAUUAAUUACCAGGCAGGACCCUUAGAAGGUUUUUAAUGAAAAGAUACAAGGACAGUGCCCAGCAUAAAUUGAUAGCUUUUGCUACACUUUAUGCUGUUUUCUCAAUCUUGGCAAGCAAUGAAAUAAAAGAAACAAGUUUUGUGAUUUUUUUUUUCUUUUUUGCAAAUAUUGACUGAGGGGAAACAACUUGCUUGAAUUCAGAAAAUCAGAAAGCCACCUCCAAUGCUGAAGUUGAUGUUUCUGAACUUCUGGCUCUUAACCUGGGCUUUAGACUUCAGAUAAGUUCCUCUUAGAAGUGAGAUUGCUGAGUCUAAAGGACGUCAUUGACUUAACUAGAGAAACCAGACCAAGGGCAAAGGAUC